rnacentral:snRNA from 1 species
AGAGAAUCACAUGAACCUGGGAGGCAGAGGUUGCAGUGAGCCGAGAUCAUGCCAUUGCACUCCAGCCCAGGCGACAAGU